rnacentral:rRNA from 1 species
GCCUAAAGCCUUAACUCCCUGAGUGCUCUCAACCUCAUCUGAUCUUGGAUGCUAAGCAAGGACAGGCCUGGUUAGAACUCGGAUGGGUGGACAGCAGUUCCCUUGGGGU